rnacentral:lncRNA from 1 species
CAGGCAUUUUGUAGUGGUUGAUAUUAUACUCUUUAUGUGUAUAAAUAUCUCCUUAUAAUAAUAUUUGUGUACCCCUCUUUUUUUAGAAUGGGAACAUAAGGGAAGAAGUCCCUGCUACAGGAUAUCCUAAUCCUGACCUCAUCUCAGGCUGUAACAAAUCUUCACUGCAGUUAUUCUUCUGAAAUAAUUAUGGUCUUUAUUUAGAGACUGUUUGAAGUGUGAUUUUUACACAGUUGGUGUUAGAAAUGCUGGCCGCCUUGGUUUCCAGCGAUGUGGCCAUUUCAUCUGCCACAAAAUGAGAUUGUCUUACUUUUUAGGAAUACAAUACAGUUGUCUGAGAAGUUUUCAGACAUGGCAGACCUCUGAUGGAAUUGUGCCAGAUUAUAUGGAAGAGUCACAGUAUUGUCUGUCUUUGUGUACUGUUCAAGUAUCCACGUAAUUAAUGGUCGAAGGAGUUAGUAACACUCAUCAUGUCUUCAGCACUGGAAUAAGACUAGAGAGUGAGGUUCUGCAGACUGCAAUCCAGGUUCUCUGCACCUGAUGCUGUUUGAUCAUCAUCAUCAUCAUCACAAUCAUCAUCAUCUUUAUGAUUAAAAAGCAUUUGCUCAAUUUUUCUGGAAUGAAUGGCAGCAGCUCAAGAUCUCUCUUCAGAUUGAAGUAUGAAAAAAAUAAUAAGAAAAUAACACACUAGCCACUGCAGAAGAAAGUACAACAAAACAAGCCAUACAGCCACUGAUUGGUCCCUUCUACUAAAGUGGUAAUUCAAAAACCAAAAAACUUCAGGAGGACAUAAAAUAAGCCCAGGUAUGAUUUCUAUAUGUUGGAAGAAUCUAAAGGAAACAAGAUGAAAUACACAUCCAUACCUCUUCUGUUCUUGGACACAGGAGAAAACAUGCUACAUAAAACCUGGAGAGUAAGCAUUUUUGAUCUGGCAAACAGAUCUCCGCAGGUCAGAAAUAGAAAGGUCAUUGAUAUUUCAGAAUUUCAAGAAUCUGAUGAUGCUGAUGAAGAUUAUGGAAGAGAUUCAGGCCCUCUAGCUAAGAAAAUUCACUAAUUUUCCCAGGAAGCAAAAAUAAGAGGCAAUUUGGAAAGAAUUCACAGGAAGAUAGUGAGGACUAAAGAAAAAGAUGUGGAGACCAAGAAGGGUGAUUCUCACUCAGCAGAGGACAGUGAAUAUAAAAAGAUCAUCAAAAUAUGUGUCAGCAAUGGCAAGCAGCCUCUAAAGCAGCUUCUAAUCAGAGAGAGAGAGAUGCUCAUGAAAGAUGAGGGGAGUGAAGAACAAGAGGAGGUUGAAGCACCACUCCAAGAGAAAGAUUCCAGCAGUGAUGAAGAUUUCCUAAUGGAAGACUAUGAUGAUAGUGACUAUGGCAGUUCCAAAAAAAAAAAAANAGAAAAAGAAAACGAAAAAGAAAAGAAAAGAAAAACAAAAAGAUCCCUAAGAAGUCCAAUCCUGAGAUAAAAGAAAAUGCCCAAACCUAAGCCAAAGGCUACAGUGAGGCCAAACCCUGUGAGAGGCAAAGGGAAGGUAGGUCACUCCAUAGCUUUAAAGGUAUCAAAGGAAAAGGCUCCUUCUCCCAAAGAAAAGGAGAAACCAGAUAGCCCUCCAGAAAAGAAGCCCUCUGCAAGCCAUCCACCUGAAAAAUCUGGGGAUAAAGGGUCUGAAGAUGAAGCUCAGUCUGUGGGGGAUUAAAAAGUAAUGAUGGUUGGGGGAGAUAUUUUAUUUAAAAAAAGAGAAAAAAAAAGAAAAAAGGAAAAAGAAAAUCUGCUUCAGAUAGAACAUAGUUUUGGCUAUGGCUUGAUUCAUGGACUUUCAGUGCUUUUAUCCUUUUCUUGAAAAUCUCUCUUUUUAAAGAAAAUGCUUAAAUUUAAUUUACUUGUCUAUUAGUCCUCUCUUUGCCAUCAUCCCUCUUUCUGACCCUUUCCCAAUAAAGCCAUGUGAAAGUAAUCA